rnacentral:rRNA from 1 species
AUUGAACGCUGGCGGCAGGCCUAACACAUGCAAGUCGAACGAGUGGCAGACGGGUGAGUAAUGCUGGGGAAUGUAGCUUCUGGAGGGGGAUAACUACGGGAAACUGUAGCUAAUAGCGCAUACCAUAAGAUGAGCGCAAGUGGGAUGAGGUAGUUGGUGGGAUAAAGGCUCACCAAGCAGACGAUCUCUAGCUGGUCUGAGAGGAUGACCAGCCACACGGGGACGGAGACACGGCCCAGACUCCUACGGGAGGCAGCAGUGGGGAAUAUUGCCCAAUGGGGGCAACCUGACGCAGCCAUGCCGCGUGAAUGAAGAAGGCCUUCGGGUUGUAAAGUUCUUUCGGUAGGGAGGCGUUACCUACAGAAGAAGCACCGGCUAACUACGUGCCAGCAGCCGCGGUAAUAC